UCUCAGAGAUUAAGCCAUGCAUGUCCAAGUACAGACCUUAAUACGGUGAAACCGCGAAUGGCUCAUUAAAUCAGCUAUGGUUCCUUAGAUCGUACACGCUACAUGGAUAACUGUAGUAAUUCUAGAGCUAAUACAUGCCACUAUGCCCUGACCCGCAAGGGAACGGGUGGAUUUAUUAGAACAGAACCAACCGGGGGCGGCUUCGGCUGUUCCUGUUGAACUCUGUGAUGACUCUGGAUAACUUUACUGAUCGCAGUCGACCUUGUGUCGGCGACGGAUCUUUCAAAUGUCUGCCCUAUCAACUUUCGAUGGUAGGUGAUCUGCCUACCAUGGUGAUAACGGGUAACGGGGAAUCAGGGUUCGAUUCCGGAGAGGGAGCCUGAGAAACGGCUACCACAUCCAAGGAAGGCAGCAGGCGCGAAAAUUACCCACUCCCGGCACGGGGAGGUAGUGACGAAAAAUACGAAUACGGGACUCAAUCGAGGCUCCGUAAUUCGAAUGAGUGCAAUCUAAAUCCUUGAACGAGGACCAAUUGGAGGGCAAGUCUGGUGCCAGCAGCCG
rnacentral:rRNA from 1 species